rnacentral:lncRNA from 1 species
AUAUGUUGCAAUACAUUUCAGAAGGAGCGUUCACUCUGCAGGGAAUAAGGUACCUCCUUUAGCACCUUAGUGCAAUUCAUUGUGGUGCUAUUUGUUUUUACCUGAAUUCUUUCUUCAAUGGAAAAUGUUUGUUAAUAAUCUUCCUUUCAUAGAACCUCGGUUUUUUUUUUCUAAACUUGAGUUUAAAAGUCCUUUUUUGUGUUCAUGAUAAGGUACAGUUAGCAUGCUUAAAGAUACUCUUCUUCCAAAUCUGAGCACUUUAAAGAAAUUCCAAAUAUUUAAACUUGCUUCCUAAUAAGUGCACAUCAUUCUGAUUAUUUCGUUUGUUUUUAGUGGUAUAUGGAUGCAUUUGUGUCAGUUUUAAAAACAAUCCACAUAUUUUGGACAUCCCUACAUAUUUAAUGCUUUCAAAAUAAGGUAAAAACAUUUUAUAUGCUAACAGAAUAUAUUUGUUACAAGUUAAAUUCCAGAAACGUACUCAAGACUGACAAUUCCUACUGUUAUUUUUUUAAGUCACAAGAAAAUAUUUAUUGAUUUUAAUUACCUACAGUGUUUAAAUCAUGCAUUAUUCAUUUUUGCACUUAAAAUCUUUCAUACUUAUUCCAAGAUGGUUUGAAGGUCCAAGGAUGAAAAUAAAUUAGGGAGAAUAAUGUAUUAACAGUCAUAAAAUGUUACGUUAAAGAACUUAGCUGAAGAAAUGUUUUUAAAUGUAUCCUGAGAAAUGUGUCAGAAUGGAUGUCAAGUUUUUUAGAGUGAUCAGUAAUUUAAACUUUUUCCAGGAUUUUAAAUAAUUUGAAUGAGUUUAGAAACCUUUAUUGAAGAGAUGAUUUAUUUAAAAAUCCAAAGCAUCAACCGUAAGAAAUUUUAUAAUAAACGUCUUUGAAGCUGCAUCUUCCAUGCU